CAUUUUGCCUCAAAGGCCUUCGGCAUUUGGCCGCGAUGUCGGGCUCGGAACGAGCUUUCCGGAAAGUACUCACGGGCCCCGUGAGUCCAUCGGGAUCGAAAGUUAGGCACGUGAGACGCGCGGAUUCCGUUUGUUGAGAUAUUCUCACUUUCGUAUUUCGUCGUACGCAACAAGUGUCCGGUUAAUUGCUCGGAAAUUGAGCGACGUGUCCUUGCAAGCGGGAAUCUGGACACUCGAGACUUACCUCGAGAAGAGACUUCAAGUAAAUUCUCAACGCAUAGGAUGAC
rnacentral:misc_RNA from 1 species